AGAGUUUGAUCAUGGCUCAGGAUGAACGCUGGCGGUCUGCUUAACACAUGCAAGUCGAACGAACUCUUCGGAGUGAGUGGCGGACGGGUGAGUAACGCGUGAGAAUCUACCUGUGGGUCGGGGACAACCACUGGAAACGGUGGCUAAUACCGGAUGAGCCGAAAGGUAAAAGAUUUAUUGCCCACAGAUGAGCUCGCGUCUGAUUAGCUAGUUGGUAAGGUAAAAGCGUACCAAGGCGACGAUCAGUAGCUGGUCUGAGAGGAUGAGCAGCCACACUGGGACUGAGACACGGCCCAGACUCCUACGGGAGGCAGCAGUGGGGAAUUUUCCGCAAUGGGCGAAAGCCUGACGGAGCAAGACCGCGUGGGGGAGGAAGGUUUUUGGAUCGUAAACCCCUUUUGUCAAGGAAGAAGCUCUGACGGUACUUGACGAAUAAGCCUCGGCUAACUCCGUGCCAGCAGCCGCGGUAAUACGGAGGAGGCAAGCGUUAUCCGGAAUGAUUGGGCGUAAAGCGUCUGUAGGUGGCCAGCUAAGUCUGCUGUUNAAGAUCNCAGCUCAACUGUGGG
rnacentral:rRNA from 1 species